rnacentral:tRNA from 1 species
AAAGGGAGACCUAAUUCCAGUAGGAGACGAAAAAAAAGUAGUCCCUACCAAGAAUCAAUCCCAAAAGGUCGGAGCGAGGCAAAAUUGGCUUUCAAACUAGGUUCUGGGUUCACACAAGACCUGAAUCAGGAACAAGGGCUAUUAGCUCAGGUGGUUAGAGCGCACCCCUGAUAAGGGUGAGGUCCCUGGUUCGAGCCCAGGAUGGCCCACCUGCACAGGUGGAAGAAAGAAAAGAAGCUCCGAAUCAGCACCUUAUCUUACUUAUAUAGUAAGAGAGAAUGCUGGCUCUGAGUACAGAGUCCAGAGGAACCUUGAAAACUGCAUAGAGCUAGGUGAAAAAGCCAAAAAAGAAGACCGCAAG